rnacentral:misc_RNA from 1 species
CCCCCGCUUCCUCCUCAUCCACACUCCGCAGUGUCGGGGUCGCUCAACUCCCACAACACUCUGCAGCCAGCGAUGCAGGCCCUCACAGCGAGGUCCCCUGCUUCUUCGUCCUGCCCUUCCUCCUCCACCGUACACCGCCGCGGCGGCACGCGCACGCGCAGCACCGCCCGCUUCGCCCCGCCCCGCGCCGCAGCGGCAGCGGCCAACUCGGUCUUCAGCGCGCCGCCCGCAGCCGUGCGCUACGCCGCGCCGCCCAAGCCGGCGGCGCCCAUUGCGCCAGUGCCCGCUCCGGCGCCGGCGGCGGGCGGCGAGAAAGGCCUGAGCUUCCUGCAGCGCGCGGCGUCGGCGGCGCUGGACGCGUUCGAAUCCGGCGUGAUCGCGGGCCUCCUGGAGCGUCCCCGCGCGCUGCCCCGGUCGGCGGACCCGGCCGUGCAGAUCGCCGGCAACUUCGCCCCCGUCGGCGAGCAGCCGCCCGUGCGGUCGCUGCCCGUGUCGGGCCGCAUCCCGCCCUUCAUCUCCGGCGUGUACGCGCGCAACGGCGCCAACCCCUGCUUCGACCCCGCCGCGGGGCACCACCUGUUCGACGGCGACGGCAUGGUGCACGCGGUCCGCAUCCGCAACGGCGCCGCGGAGUCGUACGCGUGCCGCUUCACCGAGACGGCGCGGCUCCGGCAGGAGCGCGCCCUGGGGCGGGCCGUGUUCCCCAAGGCCAUCGGCGAGCUGCACGGCCACUCCGGGAUCGCGCGCCUGGCGCUCUUCUACGCGCGCGGCCUCUGCGGCCUCGUCGACGCGUCCCGCGGCACGGGCGUCGCCAACGCCGGCCUCGUCUACUUCAACGGCCGCCUGCUGGCCAUGUCCGAGGACGACCUACCGUACCAGGUGCGCGUGACCGCCGACGGGGACCUCCGCACCGUCGGGCGCUACGACUUCGAAGGGCAGCUCGGGUGCGCCAGCAUGAUCGCGCACCCCAAGCUGGACCCGGCCUCCGGCGACCUCUUCGCGCUCAGCUACGACGUCAUCCGGCGGCCCUACCUGAGGUACUUCUACUUCCGGCCCGACGGCACCAAGUCCGACGACGUGGAGAUCCCGCUGGAGCAGCCGACCAUGAUCCACGACUUCGCCAUCACGGAGCGGUUCGUGGUGGUGCCCGACCACCAGGUGGUGUUCAAGCUCGGCGAGAUGCUCCGCGGCGGGUCCCCCGUGGUGCUGGACCAGGGCAAGACGUCCCGCUUCGGCGUGCUGCCCAAGUACGCGCGCGACGCGUCGGAGAUGGUGUGGGUGGACGUGCCGGACUGCUUCUGCUUCCACCUGUGGAACGCGUGGGAGGAGCCCGGCACGGGGGAGGUGGUGGUGGUCGGGUCCUGCAUGACCCCCGCCGACUCCAUCUUCAACGACGACGGCGGCGAGGACGGGCGGCUCCAGAGCGUGCUGACCGAGAUCCGGCUGGACACGCGCACGGGCGCGUCCACGCGCCGCGCCGUGCUGCCUCCGUCGGCGCAGGUGAACCUGGAGGUCGGGAUGGUGAACCGCAACAUGGUGGGGCGGAGGACGCGGUACGCGUACCUGGCCGUGGCGGAGCCGUGGCCCAAGGUGUCCGGGUUCGCCAAGGUGGACCUGGACACGGGCGACCUCGUCCGGUUCGACUACGGCGACGGCCGCUUCGGCGGGGAGCCCUGCUUCGUGCCCACCGAGGGCGCGCCGGCGCGCGGCGAGGACGACGGCUACAUCCUGUCCCUCGUCCGCGACGAGCGGGCGGGCACGUCGGAGCUCCUGGUAGUGAACGCCGCCGACAUGCGGCUGGAGGCCACGGUCCAGCUACCCUCCCGCGUGCCCUAUGGCUUCCACGGCACCUUCAUCGGCGAACGGGAGCUAGAGGCCCAGGCCUGAUGAUUCCUUGGUUGUUCUUUUACACUGACGACGACUGAUCGAUCCAUCCAUCCGCCGCCGCUGGUCCUCCUCCUCUGUUUUCGCUUCCUGGAGCAGGGGAGGGAGGGAGGGGGAAGAAGGCUGUUACCAGAGGGAGCCUGAGCCCGUACAUAGGAGGUCCCCGGAGCCUUGUUCCCCUCAUAACAUAUGCAAUGCAAUCUCUGCACUGCACCAGUCACCACUACUCCUGCACUGUUGUUUGUCUCAGUUACUUUUUUUUAUUUUUUACCAUGUUCUAAACAUGGAUGGAUUAUGGCUAGUCAGUGACUAGUACAGUAGUGUAAGCUGAUGAAUUGAACCACCCAGUUGCUGCAACUGAGGUGUUACUGUUGUUCACUCAUGC